UUUUUGAUGGCCUACUAUCAAAGCUGGGCCAAACAAACAAAGCAGAUCUGAUAUUUAAUUAGUUUUCUUGUGUCUACUGUUCUUUUUGAUGAUAAAUACAUUUGGAAGUUAUUUAUAAAAGUGUUCUGAAUGUACUACGUGAACUGAGUGUUUAUAAUUAUGGGUGGUUGCAGCGUAUUAGGCUAUAACAGCCGCACGGAAACAAACGCAGAUGGAAUUUCAUUUCAUUCUUUGAAUCUGUGCAGUCAGUAUCGGCAACACAAAAUGAUGAUCCAAAUUCCAAUACCAUCAACGAGCUAUAGAGGAGUUAAAAGGAAUAGACAGAAAUCAAAUGAUUAAAAUGUGUCCCCAGGUGCUAAAACUCGAAAACUGUUGCAGAAGCAAAAACAGAUAUCAGCUAAUCGUCUUAACAAAUUGCUUGUUAAAUGCUUAUAAAUAUGGAAGAAACAGAAGUUCUCCGCAGCAUCGAAAACGGAAAUAAAGAUUUUCUAAAACUCAAGGAAACGAUAUUCAAGCCAAUCACGCAACUUUUCCUUAUGUCUAAAUUUCAUAAGCCCAAAAACGUACGAAAAACAUUCGACAUCGGGCUACGUAGAUUUUGUACCUACUUGAUUUUUAUGUUCCAAUAUUUGUAAUCGGCCCUUAGCACAGAAAUUUAUACAUGUGUAAAUUAACCUAUGAUAAUAAAACACAUUGAAACUG